rnacentral:lncRNA from 1 species
UUUUUUUUCUAGGUCAAGAUGACUUAUAUACCAGAACAGGGGCACCGGACAUGGGCCUGGGUGAGCACAACCCAUCAGGGCGCGCCUGGGUUCCCUGGUGCACCCAAGUGGGUUGUGCCCACCUGGUGGGCCCCCUCUGGUACUUAUUGACUCUAGAAAUUCUUAUUUAUUACAUAAAAAUCCUCGUGAAGUUUCAGCUCAUUUGGAGUUGUGCAGAAUAGGUAGCUUGGCGUAGCUUUUUCAGGUCCAGAUUUCCAGCUGCCAGAAUUCUCCCCCUUUGUGUAUACCUUGCAUAUUAUGAGAGAAAAGGCAUUAGAAUUACUCCAAAAAUAAUUAUUAUACAAUAAAACAACAUAAAUAAUAGUAGGAAAACAUGAUACAAAAUGGAUGUAUCAACGCCCCCAAGCUUAGACCUCGCUUGUCCUCAAGCGAAAACCAAAAUCGAAAAACUUGUCCACAUGCUUAGAGAGAGAGGUGUCGAUAAAAACAAAAAUACGGACAUAGCAGCAUCAUGUAACUUAUUAUAACAGCAACAAACUUUAACAUAAAACUUUUAUCAUAGAACUUUUAUCAUAGACUACUCAUGAACAAGUGAUAAUUCAUCACAACAUCGAAGUAUAAAGCAUAAACUUUAUUCGAAACCAACAAACUAUGUUCUCAGUCAACUUUGCAACUACAAUUCAUCAUAUUUUCAGGAAGGGUCAUGUAUCAGAACCAUUAGGCAAGUCCACAUACUCCACCAUCAUUUAGUCUUCUAUGAUUGCUAACACUCACCGCGUACACAUGAGCAAAAUGUUUCAAUCGGACACAUAGAAAUAUAGGGGCUUAUAGUUUUGCCUCCCAACGCGAUCACCUCAAGGGUGAUGUCAACAAUAAUAACUCAUGCUACCCAUAUUCAACUGGAUAUAUGUGCCUAGAUCUUUUUUUUCCUCACCACAUGAUGCUUGCCAAAGGAGAAAAAUAAAAGGAAUAGAGAGAAAAACUUUGGCUUUUGCAUGAAAGUAAAUACGUGAAAGUAAAAGAUAGGCCCGUCGUAGAGGGAAGCAGAGGUUGCCAUGCGCAUUUUUUUGUAUGCUCAACCCCUUACUGCAAGAGAACGUCAUGUUAUAUUGCCCCUUGUGAUGGCAACCUUUAUUAUGUAGUUUGUCGCUUUUAUUCUUCUCCAUCACAAGUUCAUACAACGCUGAAUUUUCCCUUACACUAAAUGAUCUUACACUUUUAGAAGCAAUUUUUAUUGCCCUUUUUGCACCGAUGACAACUUACUUGAAAGAUCUUACUCAAUCCAUAGGUAGGUAUGGUGGACUCUCAAACAAUAUUUGGGUUUAAGGGUGUUGGAUGCACAAGUAGUAUCUCUACUUAGUGCGGAGGUUUUGGCUAGCAAAGAUAGGGGCAAGCACCACAUGUUGAAGGAUCUAUGACAAUAUAACUUGUAUGCGAAUAUGGACAAACAUAAAUCAUUAUGUUGUCUUCCUUGUCCAACGUCAACAAUUUUGGCAUAUAAUAUUUUGAUGGGUGCUCACAAUCACAAAAGAUUUCCAGGAUAGUGUAUUUGUAUGUGAAUCUUCUCUUCCCUUAUUAAUUCUUUGAUGAGUUGCAUCAUUCACCAAUGCUUUGUUUGUCAAUCUACAAUCAAAUUUACUACCUACACUUUUCCUUGUGUAAUGUCAUCACUUGCCAUAAGAUUAGCAUAUGAUAUUUUUAUUGAAGCAAGAGAGUAAAGAAGGCAAAACUAACACUAAACUUUAUUAUAUAUCUCGCACACAAUUACAAGGAUUGAUCACUAAGCAGACUCUCAAAAAUAAAGGAUCGAACUAAACUUUUAUUCAUCUAAUAGCAAAAGAUAACCAUGGAUCGAACUAAGAAAGUAAAGGCAAAAGAUAGUGGAGAUGAUAUGAUACCGUGGCACCUCCCCCAAGCUUGGUGAAAGCUAAGGGGAGUGCCCAUACCCGAUACUCAAUUUGCUUUUGGUGGUGAAGAAGGAGGGGCUGGUGAUGAAGUAGAAGCAAUCCGGUCCUUAAGGACCAAGAGACUCUCCAAUCUUCAGAUGAUGCUCCGAAGGGAAGCGAUGUGCUCCAGAUGCAGAAUAUUUUCACGAGUGAGAUACUUAUUUUGUAUACGAACCGUUUCAAUAUGAUCGUGGAGGCUGCAAUCUCAGUGUGGGUAAGAUGAGCAUAGUAGGGUUUAAGGAUAUCUUCAUCUUCCUCAUCGGUGGCAAGGCUUGCUCGUCCAUCAACACUUGAUCUCCGGUGGCCUCCUUGCUCCUGUCCUCCUUAGUGGCUCCAACGAGGUCCUCCCUCUUCAGCUCGAUCUUCAUCAACCAAGCAUCUUCUUAUAUAUGGUAAUAAGAAGAAGAAGACAUGAUGCCUGGCUCAGCGGGUCUGACAGAAAAAAAACGAGAAAGGAAAACAGGAGAUUUCUCCAUGAUACAAAGGUCAACAUGUUUGGGAGGUAUAUAAAGAUUUUUUUAUCUUGGGGAACAAGCAGAACGGAAGAAAAACGGAGUCCAGAAAGUACCCGAGGUGGGCACAACCCACCGGGGCACGCCUGGCAGGCGUGCCCUGGUGUAUCGUGCCCACCAGGGUCACUUUCCUGGAAGUUUCUUAUUUUCCUAAUUUUUUAAAUAUUCCAAAACUGACAAAAAAUAUUUUUGCGGAUUUUUUGGAGUCCAUUUACUUACCGUAUCAUGCAUCUCCCUUUUUUCAUGAUUCUAGGGUGCUCUGGAAGGUUUCCUUUAUGUGUUCUUCUGGUGCCAAAGUUUGGAUAAUAUUGCUUUCAACAUUAAUGGGCAUACCUGAGAUAUAAUGUUUUAUUCAUUGCCCAUUGACAACCUUCGGGUUAGUACCUUCAACAUUAUUUAUUUUGAUAGCUCCGGAUUGAUAGACCUCCUCUUUGACAUAGGGUCCUUCCCAUUUGGAUAGGAGUUUACCUGCAAAGAAUAUGAAACGAGAGUUGUACAAAAGAACAUAUUCUCCAACUUUGAACUCACGGGUUUGGAUUCUUUUGUCAUGCCACCUUUUAACUUUUUCUUUGAAUAACUUUGGAUUUCAUAAGCCUGGGUUCUCCAUUCAUCUAAUGAGCUAAUAUCAAAUAACCUCUUUUCACCAGCAAGUUUGAAAUCAUAGUUGAGUUCUUUAAUUGCCCAAUAUGCUUUAUGUUCUAACUCAAGAGGCAAAUUACAAGCUUUUCCAUAAACCAUUUUAUAUGGAGACACACCCAUAGGAUUUUUAUAAGCUGUUCUAUAAGCCCAAAGUGCAUCAUCUAAUUAUUUAGACUAAUUCUUCCGGGACCUAUUGACAGUCUUUUGUAAGAUUAGUUUUAUUUUUCUAUUGCUAAGUUCAACUUGACCACUAGACUGAGGAUGAUAAGGUGAUGCAAUUCUAUGGUUAACAUCAUACUUAGCAAGCAUUUUACGUAAAGCACCAUGAAUAAAGUGUGAACCACCUUCAAUCAUUAAAUAUCUAGGGACUCCAAACCUUGGGAAAAUAACUUCCUUAAGCAUUUUAAUAGAGGUGUUGUGAUCAGCACUACUGGUUGGAAUAGCUUCUACCCACUUAGUAACAUAAUCAAAAGCAACCAAAAUAUGUGUAUACCCAUCAGAGGAAGGAAAAGGUCCCAUGAAAUCAAAUCCCCAAACAUCAAAUGGUUCAACAGCAAGUGAAUAAUUCAUAGGCAUUUCUUGACGCCUACCGAUAUUACCUAUUCUUUGACAUUCAUCACAAGAUGAGACAAACUUACGGGCAUCCUUGAAGAGAGUAGGCCAAUGAAAACCAGAUUGCAAUACCUUAUGAGCAGUUCUGUCUCCCGCGUGAUGUCCUCCAUAAGCUUCAGAGUGACAUUUCCGUAGGAUUUGUUCCUGUUCAUGCUCAGGUACACAGCAUAUAAUAAUACCAUCUACUCCUUUAUAAAGAUGUGCGCAUCCCAAAAGUAAUGUCUUAAAUCAUAUAAGAAGUUUUUUAUUUUUUGGUAUGUGAAGCUAGGUGGUAUGUAUUUAGCAACAAUAUGAUUAGCAUAUUCAGCAUACCACGGUGUACUGUUAGAAACAUUUAUUGCAGCUAAUUGUUCAUUAGGAAAGCUAUCAUUAAUAGGUUGUGGGUCAUCAAGAAUAUUUCCAAGCCUAGACAAGUUAUCAUCUACGGGGUCCUCUGCCCCUUUCCUAUCAGUGAUAUGCAAAUGAAAUUCUUGUAGCAGAAGAACCCACCUAAUGAGUCUAGGUUUAGCAUCUUUCUUUUUCAUAAGAUAUUUUAGAGCAGCAUGAUCGGUGUGAACAAUCACUUUAUAAUAAACAAUGUAAGAUCUGAAUUUAUCACAAGCAAACACCACUGCUAAGAAUUCUUUUUCAGUAGUAGCAUAAUUUCGUUGAGCACUGUCUAGAGUUUUAGUAGCAUAAUGAAUAACAUUCAGUUUCUAUUCAACUCUUUGUCCUAGAACAACACCAACAACAUAAUCACUAGCGUCCCACAUAAUCUCAAAAGGCAAGUUCCAACCAGGUGGUUGAACAACAGGUGCAGUAAUUAAGGCUUUCUUUAGUGUUUCAAAGGAUUCCAAGCAAUCAUCAUAAAACACAAAGGGAAUAUCCUUUUGCAAAAUAUUCGUAAGAGGCCAAGAAAUUUUAGAGAAGUCUUUGAUGAACCUCCUAUAGGAACCAGCAUGACCAAGGAAACUACGAAUACCUUUGAUAUCUUUAGGACAUGGCAUUUUCUCAAUUGCGUCAACCUUGGCCUGGUCCACUUCAAUGCCUCUUUCAGAAAUUUUAUGGCCCAAAACAAUAGCUUCGUUAACCAUAAAGUGGCACUUCUCCUAAUUCAAGACAAUAUUUUUUUGUUCACAUCUCUGCAAAACUCAAUCAAGAUUGCUUAAACAAUCAUCAAAAGACUUCCCAUAAACGGAAAAAUCAUCCAUGAAAACGUCAACAAUCUUUUCACAAAAAUUAAAGAAUAUAGCAGUCAUACAUAUUUGAAAGGUAGCAGGUGCAUUACAUCAACCAAAAGGCAUACGUCUAUAAGCAUAAAUUCCAAAAGGACAAUUAAAAAUGGUCUUUUCUUGAUCAGGUUGUGAAACAUGUAUUUGUGAAAAACCAGAAUAUCCAUUAAGAAAGCAAAAACGUGUGUGCUUAGAUAAUCUUUCUAACAUUUGAUCAAUAAAAGACAGAGGGUAAUGAUCUUUCCUAGUUGCUUUGUUUAACUUUCUAUAAUCAAUUACCAUCCUAUAGCAUGUGACAAUUCUUUGUGGAAUGAGCUCAUUGUUAUCAUUAGGAACAACAGUAGUACCUCCCUUCUUAGGGACACAAUGAAUAGGACUUACCCAUCUACUAUUAGCUAUAGGAUAGAUUAUACGUGCUUCCAGAAGUUUCAAUAUUCUGUUUUUACCACUUCUUUCAUCUUCGUGUUUAACCGACAUUGGUGAUCAACAACAGGUUUAGCAUUAGGCUCCAUAUUAAUCUUGUGCUAAGAUAGAGUGGGACUAAUGCCCUUAAGAUCAUCAAGAGUAUAUCCGAUAGCAGCUCUGUGCUUCUGUCGGGGAGACUGAUCCACGAACACCUAUGGGGCCGGCGGACCGUGCCCCUUUCGGUUCGGCGGGGGGCGGAGAUCGCACGAAGAGCAGAUCGAGGCGAGGCACACGAGCAGUUUACCCAGCUUCGGAGCUCUCCGGAGAGAUAACACUCCUACUGCUGCUUGUCUGGUUGUAUUAUCUGGUGUUCUUGCUCUCCAAAGUGAGAGUGUGAUGUUCUCUGGGCUACGGAUGGAUCGAAGCAAACUGUCUGAGGCUCCGAACCUAUGAGCCGAACCCCAUCUACGUUGCGCAUGGGCCGCCUUUUAUACGCUAAAGGGGUCACCGACAGGUGACAACGCAGAGGAGAGUAAAAACAUAAAAAGCGAGGUAGUUGGUACAGUUGCUUGUACAGUGCACCCUACCUAACCCUGACGGCAGGGGACAAGGGCAUUAAAUGCCCGUCUGAGUCGCCCAAACAGUGCAGAAAAGGACCGUUAGGGGCGCCACCGUUCGCCACGAUGGUGAUCUUGCCAGCUUCGCAUGCCACUGCGCACUGCUGGCUGCACGGCCUCUCGCCACGCGCGCCCGGAGAGGCCCCCAGAGCGACACAUUGGUGGAUGCACUGGAGCGUGGACGCAGAGUGGCUGCCUGCCGCGGCAAGCGCCUUGCCGCUGUCGUUAUCUUGUCGGGUCCGGAAGCUUAUCGCUCACCGGGCCUCGAGGUACCUUGGUUUGUCUUCCCGGCAAGCUCCUCUUGCCGGGGCCUUGUUGCCUUGCCGGAGCGCGUGGCGCGUCGCAGCAAGUUCAUUGGAGCGCCUUGGUUGGCCUUCCCGGCAAGCUCCUCUUGCCGGGGUCUUGUCUCCUUAGCAUAAAUACUUUGUUCUUGGAUGGCUCCAAGGGAACCUUGGGGGAUCUUGGCGAUCACUCGGCAAGCCUUUGCUGUGGGGUGCUGCAACUGCCCGUGCACAAGUUUGGGGUACUAGGGUACCCCUGUUCUAGUACACCGACAGGAGUCCCCGGGCCUGGGCCAGACACGGUGCUGAGCGCUGUUGGGCCAGGCCCAAGACAGGGCACGGGCACACGCGGGCUGGGCCAUGCCAAAUCUUGUUCCGUAUCCACCGCACUCUCCCAUAACGGCAUGCGUUGAAUGCGGCAUCGUGGGAGAGAUCGUGGGUGGUUGUUUAUUUGGAAGGCCGAAACGUCCGCCCCGUCCCUCUUUAUAAGCAGUGGAAACAGGGGCAGUUCGUUCCCCCUCGCUGUUUGCUGCUACUCCUUCUUCACAAACUCCGCCGCUCCCCCCCCCCAUUGGAAGCCGAGAGAGCAGCGUUCCGCCCCCCCCCAUUGCCACCAGCAUCACCACGCCGUCGACCUUCCCCACCACCUCUGCCAUGGCCCCGAAGGCCGACAAGGGAAAUGGCGUGAAGUCGGCCGAGGCGCAGCGGCUCGCGGCGCUGCGGGAAGGAGCGGGCGAUCUUCACCCCCCAGCUCGGCGUGCAGGAGCUGAGGGAGUACUUCUACCUCUUUUGGGCGAUGGAGACGCGUGCGCAUCCGCGCACGAGGGUACUCCCGGCCGCUGCCUCGGAGUCGACUCCAAAUGGGUACUCGUUCUUCCCAUUAUUCUUCUAUUGCGGGCUCUGCCCGCCCUUCUCGGAGUUCUUCUGUGAUAUUAUGAACACAUAUGGCUUCCGCCUCCUUGACUUCACCCCCAAUGCUGUCCUGACCAUGGCAGUUUUCGCACACUUGUGCGAAAACUUUGUCGGAGUCCACCCUAGUGUAGCCCUUUUCCGCCAUUACUUCAUGCCUCGGGUAGAGAGAGGAGAGCCGCUUGCCGAAGGGAUAGCUUGGAUCUCGAGAGUCAGCAAGAAGGAUGCGUACUUGGAGGGUGAGCUCCACAGCAAGUGGGAGGAGUGGAGAGCGGAGUGGUGUUGGAUCGUCGAGGAGGAUCCGCAGCCCUUCACCGCCGUGCGCCAAACUCCAAUAGUGUGCGGCAAUGACUGGAGCAACGUGGCCCCGGAAGACGAGAGGCUGAAGAUCGCCAUCACUAGGAUUCUUCGCCUCAGGCUUGCCGGGCUCACCGUAGGUGCUGUCGGGGCAGAUUUCCUCCGCCGCCGCAUUGCCCCCCUGCAGGAGAGGAGGCCCGCCUGGGAAUUUAAGAAUUCAGUGGACAUCAUGAGGCUGCGGCCGGGCCUCAACUACAACUUCACUGUCUUGGAGUUGGAUGCAAUGCUCUUGGAAUUAUUCAAACGUGACCCCCAGCACCCAUUCACACUGCCGAGGGGCGUAGUUCCUUUGUGCAAUAACUCUUCGCUUGACCGGAUCCGUGCCAUGAUGCCAUUGUGCGAUUCACACGGCAUCGUCCCAACUUGGCAAGAGCCUGCGGAUGACGUUGUGCAAGCGUUCUUCGACACCUUGGGGGAAUUGCCGGUCCGCGCUGACGAGCAGAAGAGCCUCACCCGUGACACCACCGACGAGGAGCUGCAGCUCAUCGCUACUAGGGCGGAAGAGGCUGCGGCCGCAACUGCUGCGGGUGUGUUUGGGUUUACUGUGGAGGAGGCAGAGGCUGAAGAGGCGGCAAACCUUGCCGAACGCGCGGAGUUCAUGGGCGAGGAGGAGCCUGCUGGUUCCGAAGCCGAGUCGAGCGAGGCCGGCAAGGAGGAGGCUGAGCCUUCAGAGAGCUUGCUGCAGGCGGAGCCCCUGGCCCCGCCAAGGAGGCACCUUCGCAGGGCCGGGGACGCAGCAGGGCGGCAGCCGGCUCCACAACCACCGAGCCGCGCGACGCGCUCUAUCACGGCAAGCAAUGUUGCCGCGGGAGCACCUCAUGCAGCAGUGGCAACUGGAGCGGGAUCUUCCCGGGCCACUGCCACUGCCCCCGUCAAGCGGGCAAGGGAUCCUACUCCUCCACCUCGCCGCACCGGAGGAGGGCCGGACUUCGAUCUUUCCGCGCUCAGCUCCGACGAGGAGGAAGAAGAGUGAGUUCCUUUGGUGCUCUUAUAAUCCUUCAGUCUUGCUAUUUAAAUCUUGUAUCUGACUUGCUCUAAUCUGGACUCCUUUCUUUUCAGAACACUGGCCCAGAGAGCGGCGAAGAGGGACAAGGCCGCGGUGAUCGUCAUCGAGGAUGACCCCAUCGCGUCGGCAGGAGGUGGGCCCGAGACCACCUUGACGGACCCGGCAAUCACCCCUCGGAGCAGCCCCCAGCGCAGCCCCCAGCGUAAGUUCAUAGUUUAGCCUUCUGCUGUCGGGCGCGCUUGAGUGCUUUUUCCUUUGUUGAUAUCUUGCUUGUUGACUUGUGCAGGAGCAGAGCAGCCUCAUCAGGAGCGCCCGGAGGCCGGUCCUGAAGUGCCACCUGCUUCGACUGCGCCGCCAAGGGAGGAGUCCCCGGCAAGGGAACGCUCUCCAGCAAGGGGGGACUCUCCGGCAAGGGACGGUACUGCUGAUCCUGCGGCGACCGAGGCCGCUACUGAAGAUCUUGGCGCAGGUAAUCCAUUUGCCCAAAAACUUUCCCUUGGGUUCUGCUUCUUCCGUUUUUCCUUUCUUGGAUUUUUUUGAUUGAUUUUCCUCCCCACUUCGUUCUUCAGACCCAUCUUCGGCUGAGCAAAUGGAGACAGAGGGCGCCAGCGAGGAGGCCGCCGGGGCUGCUGCUGCGGAAGCCGGCGAGGGGUCGGGCGAUCGCACUGACGACCCUGAGGCCGCAGGAGCGCCGGGCGCUGCACCGACCGCCGAACCCUCUACCGCUUCUGCGGAGCCGGGCUCCGAGGAGCCCCAGCCCAGCGCCUACUUGCAGGCCGGUGACAACAUCUUCAUCAAGCUACCCUGGGCGUCGAGCUCCAGGGCGCCAGUCGAGGGGGAGACUUUUGACGGGGAGGUGCUCGCCUCUGCCGGAAUGUCAUUGGUUGACGCGCCCGGCAGCAGCAGUGGCGAGCCUGAGGAGGAGCAGCUGCUGCGGAAGCUGCUGUCACUCUACCGCACCCGGCAAGCCAAGCUGGCUUCCCGGGAAGCGCUUGUCGUGAAGGCGGGAGUUGACAUGGAGAAGCGCGCGGAGGAGCUCCGGGGACAAAAUCAAGAAGCUCUUCGGUCCCUGGCGCAGGAGCGGGAGCGAGUAGACGAGGAGCGCACGACCUUUCUCCUCGAGAAGGCUGAGGCUGAGGAGGAACAAAGGCUUGCUGCCGAGAAGCAGUCCGCGCGGGAAGGCGAGCUAGUGCAGCGGAAGGCCCACCUCGACAGCUACGAGGAAGAGCUCGCCGAGCGUGAGCGAGCACUUGGCGGGGCGCUCAAGGAGGCAAAGGACGCCGCGGCGACUGCAGAGGCCGCCAAGAAAGAGCUAGAGGAGAAGGUGGCGCGGCUGGAGGCCGAUAUUGGGAAGAGCAGCGAGGAGCUUGCCGCGCUCAAGCGUGAGCGCGAGAAGGAUGCGGCCGCCCAUGGUGAGCUGCAAGGCCUUCUCGCUGAGAGGGGCAAAGAGCUCAGCGCCGCCAGGGAUUCCAAAGCAGACCUGGAGCUGAAGCUAGCCACGCUGACGCAGACGCUAGAGGCCGCCAAGGAGCGGGAGAAGACCUUGGUGGAGAAGGUCAAGGCUGACGCGGCGCUGCUGGAGAGCAUUGCAGUUACCCAGAACUCAUUCAGAGACACGGUGGAGCACUGAACUGAGGGCCUGGUGAACACUACCGCCAUCAUCAACGAGGAGCUGGCGCAGCUGGGGAUGGAUGACUUUGGGUAUCCUUCCGACAAGAGCCUUCAACCCAGCGCCAAGCUCAGCCUAUUCUUUAAGGGCGUGGCGACAGCACUCCAGCGGCUCCGGGAGAGGAUCCCGAAGCAGCUGGCCGACGAGUCACGCAAAAUCUGCGCCGGGGUUCUCCAGAAGGUGCUGAUGAAGGUAGCCUUCCGCAAUCCAGGCCUCAGCUUCACCAACGUCCUCCGAUCCUUGCCGCCUGACGCCGAUCUGGACGCACUCAAGGCCCUUGUCGCACCCAUUGUGGACAAGGUGAGCGAGAUCAAGCGAGUCGAGGGCAGGCGUGUAGAUUAGGCCGCCCAUUUCUUCUUUUCCCUUGUCGCUGCUAGUCAUGUCAUGAAAACAGUCUAUUAGAGUCGCGACAAGUUAUCUUUGUAAUAUAACUUUAUUUCUGUUAUCAAUUGCAAUGUUAUUUCCUCUACUAGAUUCCUUCCUUUGUAUGUUUUCACCCUACGCUUCUAGGGAACUUGUCGGCGCAGGCGCCCGAGCCGCGAGCGCUGAGUGCGGAACUUCAGCAGCCUGCUGGCGGCGCUACUUCCGACAAGAAACCUUGUCGUGACUAGAUGCAGCACGCUUAAGCUGUUGAGCGGACUCGAAACAAAGUAAGGGCGCAACUAGCCACGAGUUGGUUCCUCUGCACACAGGUUUUCCAUACAAAGCAGGGUUGUUCGAGGAAGAUAACUCAAAAAUUUAAAAAAGUGAUCGCUCAAACUUUGGCAACUUAGCUUUUCUGUCAUUUGCUUCUCGGUAAGGCAAGUCUUUGCUUGAACGACGCCUGGCCCAUACCACAAUCUUCUCCUUCCCCCUGGCAAACUUGUGUGCGAGAGAACCUUCUUUUCCUUUAAAAGAAAAAGAAAGAAGAGAAAAUAAUAAUAUGGAGAUCUUCAGCUCGUUACUGCUUACCGGAUGUAAGUGCUGCACAAAGUGUCAGAUAAUCACAUGUAAGAAAGGAACUAACGCAUGAAAUGGACAAGCUGUGUGGAGCACAUGGGGUUUUACUUAUGCACGGGGUCUGCGCCCGGCUUUGUACAAAGGAUUACAUGCAACAGCGGCAAGACUUGUACAAAAGGUGGUUGCCGGAACGGGUUCCGGCAACCGCGCCUUAUGGGAAAAACUUACGAAGAUGUUCUAUGUUCCAGGAGUUGCUCACUGGAAUGCCAUCUUCGGUCUCAAGGCGGACAGCGCCAGGCCUUGUGACUCGUCUCACCCGAUAAGGGCCUUCCCACUUUGGCGUCAACUUGUUGGAAUUCUUGGCGGACUGAACGCGCCGAAGAACAAGGUCGCCUUCCUCGAAGCUUCUGGCUUUAACUUUGCGGCUAUGAUAGCGUCGCAAAGUUUGCUGGUAUCGAGCAGCUCGUACAGCAGCUUGAAGACGAUCUUCCUCGAGGAGCAGCGCGUCGUCUUGCCGCAGCUGUUCUUGCUCGAGCUCAUCAUAAGCGAGCACUCGAGGCGAUCCGUAUACGAGUUCCGUGGGGAGAACUGCCUCUGCUCCAUAGACUAGAGCGAAAGGUGUCUGGCCAGUGGCUCGAUUUGGCGUCGUUCUGAUCGACCAAAGAACCACCGGCAGCUCCUCGAUCCAGUUCCUUCCGCACCUGUGCAGCCUAUCGAAAGUUCUGGUCUUGAGCCCGCGCAGCACUUCAGCAUUUGCCCUCUCUGCUUGACCGUUGCUUCUCGGAUGAGCAACAGAAGCGAAGCAGACCUUGGCGCCAAGGUCUUGGACGUACUGCAUGAAGGUGCGGCUCGUGAAUUGCGUGCCGUUGUCGGUGAUGAUCCUGUUGGGAAUCCUGAAACGGCAAACAAUCGACCUGAAGAACUUGACUGCUGACUGUGCUGUCACCUUCCUCACUGGCUGCACUUCCGGCCACUUUGUGAACUUGUCGAUUGCGACGUACAAGUACUCAAAGCCCCCGACGGCUCGGGGGAAGGGGCCGAGGAUAUCCAGCCCCCAGACCGAAAAUGGCCAGGAUAAAGGGAUCGUCUGGAGAGUUUGAGCUGGCUAAUGUAUCUGUUUGGAGUGGAACUGGCACGCUUCACACUAGGUUACUUGUGCAGUUGCAUCCUGGAGGGCUGUCGGCCAAAAGAAACCUUGCCGGAAAGCUUUGCCGGCAAGUGCUCUUGCGCCUAUGUGGUGGCCACAUAUGCCUCCAUGUAUCUCUACCAACAGCUUUUGUCCAUCUUCCCGGCGAAUACACUUCAAUUUCACACAGUUGAGUCUUCUUCUGUACAGUAUGCUAUCGACAAACUGGUACAUACUUGACUGCCAGGCUACUCUUUCCGCUUCUUCUUGCUCUUCGGGAAGUUCUCCCGUCUGAAGGAAAUGGACAAUCUGUUGUGCCCAUGCUGGAGCUUGUGGCUCGACAACAAGGACUAAAGGCGCAUCUGCUGCUGCGGGAACAUCUGCUUCUACGGCAAGGAUUUGCGGCCCUGCCGGAGCUUGAUGUUCCCCGGCAAGCUUGCCGGAGCAAAACUUGUCGGGAGCGUCUGCUUCAACGGAACAAACCAUUAGGCUUGCCAGAGCAGACUGCCCCUCAGCAUCCUUGGUGUUGAUCUUGGGGACUUUCUUGGCGAUGGCUUCGGGGAGCUCUGCCGGAAAGUAGUCACCAGAAACCAACUUCCUCUUUUUGCUUUGUCCAGUUGAUGGUGUUACGGAUGGUUGAGUCAACUUAAGCACAAAGAUCCCUGGUUCCACAGGUAACUUUAGUGCGGCGCACUUUGACAGGCCAUCAGCAAUAUCAUUCUGAGCUCUUGGGAUAUGCUCCAUUUGUAGGCCGUCAAAGUGCUCUUCUAGCUUCCUCACUUCAUCAACAUAUGCUUCCAUCAACGGACUCUGGUAGUUCUUGUUCACUUGUCGGACGACAAGCUGUGAGUCACCCCUGACAAUGAGCUUCUUAAUCCCAAGGUCUGCUGCGAUUCUAAGACCGGCAAGUAAUCCUUCAUACUCUGCAGUAUUGUUGGUUGCUUGCUCUUUGGGAACGUGCAUCUGGACUACGUACUUGAGGUGCUCUCCGGUGGGUGCGACAAGCAGCACGCCUGCACCGGCGCCUUGCAGCGAGAAGGCACCAUCAAAGUACAUCAGCCACUCUUUGCUUGCUUCUUUGCCGGGGAUACUCGUUUCUGGAAUUUCUUCAUCUGGGGUUGGCGUCCACUCUGCUAUGAAUUCUGCCAAUGCUCUGCUUUGGAUAGUUGAGGUGCUCUCAAAAUUGAGGCCAAAGCUUGACAGUUCCAGCGCCCACUCAACAAUCCUGCCUGUUGCUUCUGGAUUUUGCAGUAUCCUCUUCAGCGGAAAGCGAGUGACGACUGUGAUCUCAUGUGCUUGGAAGUAAUGGCGCAACUUUCUCGAGGCCGUGAGGAGGCCGAAAAGCAACUUCUGCACACCAGAGUACCUUGAUCUAGCCCCCUGCAGAAGGGAACUGACAAAGUAAACUGGGCGUUGCACCAUUCUCCUUGGCAUCUUAUCAUGCUCCUGCGCAAACUCAUGUUUGUCGGGACCAGAGCUUGUCGGCGAAGCCCCCUGCUUGUCGUCGGAUGGGCCUACCGUGGUUGCUGGCUAAUCAUCCGCCUCCCUCUCCGCCACUAACGCAGCACUAACCACUUGAUUGGUUGCCGCUAUAUACAGCAGCAACUUCUCUUGCGGCUUAGGUGCGACAAGCGUUGGAGUGGAGGACAGGUAUCUCUUUAAGUCCUGCAGCGCAGCCUCCGCUUCCGGAGUCCAUUUCAUUGGACCUGCCUUUUUCAAAAUUUUGAAAAAUGGCAGGGCGCGCUCGGCAGAUCUAGAGAUAAACCUGCUGAGAGCAGCCACGCAACCGGCAAGCCUUCGUACAUCCUUGACGCGCUUUGGUGCUUCGAUCUGCUCAAUGGCUUUGAUCUUGUCGGGACUGGCUUCGAUUCCCCGCUGAGACACGAAGAACCCGAGAAGCUUGCCGGAAGGGACUCCAAACACGCACUUCUCGGGGUUAAGCUUGAGGUUGAUUUUGCGCAGGUUUGCAAAUGUUUCGUCUAAAUCUUGAAUCAGGGUCGCCUUGUUCUUGCUCUUGACCACUAUGUCAUCCAUGUAAGCUUCCACAUUUCUGUGUAUUUGUGGCUCAAAAGCAUGGUGGACUACCCUUGCGAAUGUUGAACCAGCAUUCUUCAAACCGAAAGGCAUCUGUACGAAGCAGUACGUGCCACACGGGGUGAUAAAUGCGGUUUUCUCUUCAUCUUCUUCUGCCAUGAAGAUCUGAUGGUACCCUGAGUAUGCAUCAAGAAACGAAAGCAAAUCACAUCCGGCUGUGGAGUCAACAAUCUGGUCAAUACGUAGCAAGGGAAAUGGGUCUUUGGGACAAACUUUAUUAACAUCAGUGAAGUCAAUACAAAGUCACCAUUUCCCAUUAGCCUUGCGCACAACAACAGGAUUGGCCAACCACGUGGGAUGGAGUACUCCUCUGACAAGGCCUGCUGCUUCCAACUUCUUGAUUUCUUCUGCGAUGAAUUCUUGGCGCUCUACUGCCUGCUUCCUGACUCUCUGCUUGACGGGCCGCGCAUGAGGACAGACGGCAAGGUGGUGCUCAAUUACUUUUCUGGGAACACCGGGGAUAUCAGACGAUUGGCACGCAAACACGUCGACAUUCGCCCGCAGGAAAGCAACGAGCGCGCUUUCCUAUUUGGGGUCAAGAGUGGCGCUGAUGGUGAAGGUACCACCAGUGCCAUCCUCCUUGGCGGACACCUUCUUAGUCUCAGGUGGAGCUGUCAUUGCCUUCUUACACUUGCCGAUGGAGCUCGAUGGUGCGUCCUCGACGGUAGCGCAGCACUCCGAGGAGGUGCGCUUGCCGGAGUAGGCAUCAGAGCUCUUGUCGGACUUGGUCUUCUUCUUCCCCCCGGGAGCUUCAGCGGCAAGUGUCCUCCGUUCUGCUGCAGCUGCUGCUUUCCGGUAGAUCUUGUUGGCACAAAUAAGAGCAUCCUUCUUGUCGCCAGGGACAGAGAUGACACUUAUUGGGCCUGGCAUUUUUAGUACGCUGUACGCAUAGUGAGAGGCUGCCAUGAACUUGGCGAGUGUCGGACGGCCAAGGAUUCCAUUAUAAGGUAAUGGAAUGUCGGCAACGUCAAACGUGACCUUCUCAGUCCUGAAGUUCAGCUCACUGCCAAAUGUUACCGGCAACGUGAUCUUUCCCUUUGGCUUGCUCCUUCCCGGGUUGAUUCCUUGAAAUGUGCCGGUCUCUUCGAGCUCGCUGUCAGGGAUCUGGAGCUUCUGGAGCACCACGGAGGAGAUCAAGUUCAAACCGGCCCUUGCGAAUGUUGAACUACCCUUGCGAAUGUUGAACCAGCAUUCUUCAAACCGAAAGGCAUCUGUACGAAGCAGUACGUGCCACACGGGGUGAUAAAUGCGGUUUUCUCUUCAUCUUCUUCUGCCAUGAAGAUCUGAUGGUACCCUGAGUAUGCAUCAAGAAACGAAAGCAAAUCACAUCCGGCUGUGGAGUCAACAAUCUGGUCAAUACGUAGCAAGGGAAAUGGGUCUUUGGGACAAACUUUAUUAACAUCAGUGAAGUCAAUACAAAGUCACCAUUUCCCAUUAGCCUUGCGCACAACAACAGGAUUGGCCAACCACGUGGGAUGGAGUACUCCUCUGACAAGGCCUGCUGCUUCCAACUUCUUGAUUUCUUCUGCGAUGAAUUCUUGGCGCUCUACUGCCUGCUUCCUGACUCUCUGCUUGACGGGCCGCGCAUGAGGACAGACGGCAAGGUGGUGCUCAAUUACUUUUCUGGGAACACCGGGGAUAUCAGACGAUUGGCACGCAAACACGUCGACAUUCGCCCGCAGGAAAGCAACGAGCGCGCUUUCCUAUUUGGGGUCAAGAGUGGCGCUGAUGGUGAAGGUACCACCAGUGCCAUCCUCCUUGGCGGACACCUUCUUAGUCUCAGGUGGAGCUGUCAUUGCCUUCUUACACUUGCCGAUGGAGCUCGAUGGUGCGUCCUCGACGGUAGCGCAGCACUCCGAGGAGGUGCGCUUGCCGGAGUAGGCAUCAGAGCUCUUGUCGGACUUGGUCUUCUUCUUCCCCCCGGGAGCUUCAGCGGCAAGUGUCCUCCGUUCUGCUGCAGCUGCUGCUUUCCGGUAGAUCUUGUUGGCACAAAUAAGAGCAUCCUUCUUGUCGCCAGGGAAAGAGAUGACACUUAUUGGGCCUGGCAUUUUUAGUACGCUGUACGCAUAGUGAGAGGCUGCCAUGAACUUGGCGAGUGUCGGACGGCCAAGGAUUCCAUUAUAAGGUAAUGGAAUGUCGGCAACGUCAAACGUGACCUUCUCAGUCCUGAAGUUCAGCUCACUGCCAAAUGUUACCGGCAACGUGAUCUUUCCCUUUGGCUUGCUCCUUCCCGGGUUGAUUCCUUGAAAUGUGCCGGUCUCUUCGAGCUCGCUGUCAGGGAUCUGGAGCUUCUGGAGCACCACGGAGGAGAUCAAGUUCAAACCGGCCCCGCCGUCAACUAGCAUCUUAGUGACCUUGAGGUUGCGGAUUGUUGGUGAAACCAACAUCGGCAAGCACCCGACCGCAGUUAUGCGAUCCGGAUGGUCCUCAAUAUCAAAGAUGAUAGGCGUGCUGGACCAUUUCAGAGGCCUGCGUGACUCGAUGGGUGGUUCUGCUGCAUUAACCUCCCGCAUCCACUGCUUGAGCUGGUGGUGCGAGGCAUGCAGAGAAGCACCACCGUCAACGCACAGGACCUCUGUAGCUUUCUGGAACUCCUGCUCAUCAGUCUCCUCAUCAUCCAUAUCUUCAUUGUCGCCGUCAUCUUCAUCCUUGUCGCGGCCGCGAGGAGGUCUGUCUCCUUGCCGCUGCUUGGCCUUGUCGCGCCGUCCUCCUCGGCCGGGACGUUUCUUGCCAGAUCCAACAGCUCCUUCCUGGGCCUUCUCCUUGUCGCGCCGCUCGUAUUCAGCUUUCUGUUGCUCAACAAGCUGCUCGACCCUCUUGCAGUUCUGAAGAUCAUGGCCCUUGGUGCGGUGAAUCUUGCAAUACUGCUUGUUGGCGCCGUCCUGCUUGUCGGCGACCGCCACCUCCGCGGCAACCUCCUUGCUGGAGUCACCAGUUUUGGCUUCCUUGGCGCCGCCACCGUUGCCGGACUGCUCAACAACUAGCACUUCUUUGCCUUUUCUUCUCCUGUUGUUCCGUCGCCGGUUUUUCCUUGUCGGGGCAGCAUCUUCGCUGUCAGAUCCUCCUGCUCCUAUAUUUUCUCCGGGGAGUCUCCUUCCUUCCUCAGCACGUGCACACUUGUCGGGCAGUGCAUAUAACUCACUGACGUCCCUGAUCUUGCACAUCGCCAUUUCCUCCCGCAUCCUGCGGUUCCGCACGUUCUGAUGGAACGCGCUGAUCACCGCGGCAAGGUGGACGUCUGGGAUGUUGUGCUGCACGCUACUGAAUCUCUGAAUGUACUUGCGCAAGGGCUCUCCUUCCUUCUGGGCGAGCAGAUGAAGAUCACUCUCCUGGCCAUGAGGCUUGUGUCCGCCUGUAAAGGCGCCGACAAACUGAUGGCACAGAUCAGCCCAAGAGGAUAUGGAGUUGUCCGGCAAGUGCAUGAGCCAGGACCUGACAUUGGGCUUGAGCACCAGCGGGAAGUAGUUGGCAAGGAUCUUGUCAUCUCGUCCCCCGGCAGCUUGCACCGCAAUAGUGUAAAUGCUGAGGAACUCUGAUGGAUGCGUCUUGCCGUCGUACUUCUCCGGUACGUCUGGCUUGAAGUUCUUUGUACUGGGCCACUGGACUUGCCGCAGCUCACGAGUGAACGUAGGACAACCUACCGCGUACGACAGAUCGCCUGGUUCCCCUGGCGCAUGCAUGUCAACAGAGGGCCCUGCGCGCUUGUCGGAUUGACGUCGCGCUUCUCUUUGGCGCUCGAUGCGGGUUCGAGCGUCUUCUUGUUGUCGAUCAUAAAGAACUUGGCGCUGAUCGCGACGAGCUCGUGGAUCCGACGAUGCAGUGGAGUCGCUGUCGAGGUGGAUCCGGCGAGUCGGCGAUCUUGGCCUUCGGGGUGGUGAUUGCAUGGUAGUUGCACCUCCGCCCAUUUCGUCGCCACCGGCUCGCGUCCGGCGGUCCUGCCGUGGCGGCGACGCGCUCGGCCGCCGUGGAGUGUCGCCGUUGGCGUAGCCGAUGAGACUCUGAAUGGUGGCCCUCCAUUCAUCGAUCUUGUCCGACGUUGGAGGGUAAUCUAAGAGAAGUUGAGCUCGCGCCAAAGCUUCUGCUGGAGUGGUGGGUGGCAGUGGCGGACGGCGCGAGGAGCGGGACGUGCUCGAACUUCUAACUAUGUUAGAAGGAGCAGUAUCCCGUCCAGGCGACCGUGCCCCGCUCGUGCCAGCCCGCUGGCGUGCAUGCUGGUCUUGAGCGCCCCGAGAUCCACCAGCUUGGUCUUGGGCUAUCAUGCGUAUGGCACUGCUAGUGCCAUGACGCUGUUGAUCUUGCGCCUCCUGAGAGUGGCAUGGAACAUCUGCAGUCGCCGAGGUUUGUGCAGCCUUGUUCUUGGACCUGGCGGCAUCAUGAGCUUCCUCGUCGACGUCCUUUCUUCCGCCGGCGUCCAUCCCACCACUCGUUUGCUCCAACGGUGGCGGAAGUGACGUGGAUGGAGCGGCUGCCGCCAAAGUCUUCUUCUUCGGUGGCAUGUUGAUGAAGGGAAUAAGGAUCUAGCUCGUGUGAACGCCGGAUCUGGUUCACACAAUCUCGACAACCCCUACCUGGCGCGCCAAAGAUGUCGGGGAGACUGAUCCACGAACACCUAUGGGGCCGGCGGACCGUGCCCCUUUCGGUUCGGCGGGGGGCGGAGAUCGCACGAAGAGCAGAUCGAGGCGAGGCACACGAGCAGUUUACCCAGCUUCGGAGCUCUCCGGAGAGAUAACACUCCUACUGCUGCUUGUCUGGUUGUAUUAUCUGGUGUUCUUGCUCUCCAAAGCGAGAGUGUGAUGUUCUCUGGGCUACGGAUGGAUCGAAGCAAACUGUCUGAGGCUCCGAACCUAUGAGCCGAACCCCCUCUACGUUGCGCAUGGGCCUUCUUUUAUACGCUAAAGGGGUCACCGACAGGUGACAACGCAGAGGAGGGUAAAAACGUAAAAAGCGAGGUAGUUGGUACAGUUGCUUCUAUAGUGCACCCUACCUAACCCUGACGGCAGGGGACAAGGGCAUUAAAUGCCCGUCUGAGUCGCCCGAACAGUGCAGAAAAGGACCGUUAGGGGCGCCACCAUUCGCCACGAUGGUGAUCUUGCCAGCUUCGCAUGCCACUACGCACUGCUGGCUGCACGGCCUCCCGCCACGCGCGCCCGGAGAGGCCCCCAGAGCGACACGUUGGUGGAUGCACUGGAGCAUGGACGCAGAGUGGCCGCCUGCAGUGGCAAGCGCCUUGCCGCUGUCGUUAUCUUGUCGGGUCCGGAAGCUUGUCGCUCACCGGGCCUCGAGGUACCUUGGUUUGUCUUCCCGGCAAGCUCCUCUUGCCGGGGCCUUGUUGCCUUGCCGAAGCGCGUGGCGCGUCGCAGCAAGUUCAUUGGAGCGCCUUGGUUGGCCUUCCCGGCAAGCUCCUCUUGCCGGGGUCUUGUCUCCUUAGCUUAAAUACUUUGUUCUUGGAUGGCUCCAAGGGAACCUUGGGGGAUCUUGGCGAUCACCCGGCAAGCCUUUGCCGCGGGGUGCUGCAACUGCCCGUGCACAAGUUCGGGGUACUAGGGUACCCCUGUUCUAGUACACCGACAGCUUCCUUAGAACUUUCAAUAAUCUUUCUUCUUCAUGUUCUGAAAGGUUAGCACUAAUAAUAACAUGAUAUAUCUUUUUCUCAUCAAGAUAAGCAUAUUUUGAAGUUCCUGGCAAUUGUUUUAAUUCAAACAAUGAUCACCUUUAGGUGGAGGAUGACCUCCUAGAGUUUCAAUAGGCAAAUUGUGUUUAGGCAGAGGUUGUUAUUCGAAAAAGAUUCUAUUUCUUUCAUUUCUUUCACGCAUAUGCAAAUCAUUUUCAUGGUCUAGUAAAUAUUUUUCCAAAGGAUCAGUAGGAGGUACAUCAAUAGAAGCAAGACCAAUAAUUUCAUCCUUGCUAGGCAAAUCUUUCUUAUGAGGUUGUCGACUAAACUUGAAAAAAUUAAAUUCAUGAGAUUCAUCACCAAAGCUAACACUGAAAAUUUGUUUCUCACAGUCUCUUCUGGCAUUGACGGUGUUCAAGAAAGGUCUACCAAAGAUAAUGGGACAAAAGUCAUCUUGUGGGGAGCCAAGAACAAGAAAAUCAGUAGGGUAUUUUAUUUUCCCACACAAGACUUCAACAUCUCUAAGAAUCCCAAUUGGUGAUAUAGUAUCUCUAUUGGCAAGUUUAAUAGUGACAUCUAUGUCUUCUAUUUCAGCAGGUGCUAUUUUAUUCUUAAUUUCUUCAUAUAAGGAAAAAGGAAUAGCACUCACACUAGCACCUAGGUCACAUAACCCAUGAUAACAGUGAUUUCCUAUCUUAACUGAGACAACAGGCAUGCCAACAACUGGUCUACGUUUAUCCUUUUCAUUAGGUUUGGCGAUUCUAGAAGCUUCAUCACAGAAGUAAAUAACAUGCCCCUCAAUAUUAUUGACAAAGAGAUCUUUAAUCAUAGCUACACUAGGUUCAAUUCCAAUUUGUUCAGCUGGUUUGGGUAUUCUAACAUAACUUUUUUAACCACAAUUGAAGCUUUAGCAUGUUCCUUCAUCCUAACAGGGAAAGAUGUUUUUUCAAUAUAAGGAGUGGGAACAACUGGAUCAACAUUGUAAAUAAUAGUUUCUUCUUUAGCUUUUACUGGUUCUUUAAUUUCUUCUUUAAUUGGUGGGUGAUAUUUAAACCACUUCUACUUAGGGAGAUCAACAUGAGUAGCAAAAGAUUCAGAAAAGGAAGCUACUAUCUCAGAGUCAAGUCCUUAUUUAGUGCUAAACUUUUGAAAAGCAUCGGUAUUCAUAAAAGAUUUAACACAAUCAAACUUAGGUUCAAUACCUGACUCUUUACCUUCAUCGAGCUCCCAAUCUUCAGAGUUGUGUUUUCUUCUUUCUAAAAGAUCCCACCGGAGUUCAAUAGUCUUCUUCAUAAAAGAACCAGUACAAGAAGUAUCGAGCAUGGAUUGAUCAUCACGAGAAAGCCGAGCAUAAAAAUUCUGAAUAAUAAUUUCUCUUGAGAGCUCAUGAUUGGGGCAUGAAUAUAACAUUGACUUAAGCCCCCCCCCCAAGCUAUUGAGAUACUUUCUCCUUCACGAGGCCAAAAAUUAUAUAUAUAACUAGUCGUCAACCCGUGCAUUCGCACGGGCUAGCAUAUUGAGAAUGCCAGUUGGAAUAUUUCGAUACUCUUUUUUGGCUAAAGAAUCCAUGGGUUAUAAAAUUAGAGUUACUUUAUGGAAAAAGUUUUCUUAUUGUUUAACAAAGGAUGUAAUAGGUAACCAUACUGUCCUUAUUGUGAUCACGACCAUGGUGUAUAAAUUCAAAGUUGAGACCAAUGGUUAGGUGUAUUAAGAUUUAGAGUCCUUAUCUUUAUUUAUGCACAAAUAAAGCGCCCCUUUUUGAAGAAUAUAUGCACAAAUAGAACAGUUCAUGACUCAAGUGAGAAAAACAAAACAAAUCAAUACAUCAAACAUGUUCGUGUAUGCCAAUUUACUGUUCAGGAAAUAUAAAUUGCGUCAUCCAUCUUUCUUAUUGUCAAAAACUCAAGAAGCUAGUAGAGCAAAAAAAUUUAAAGGAAGCUUCUCUAACUUGAUGUAGGCAAUAAUUUUAAUUAUUAAGUGAAGUAGAUUUCGGCAGUGGUCCUCGACACAACAUCUGAUUAAUCUUAGACCACUCAUGUUGGCAUUUGUACCACAAUACCCAUGCAUCUGCAUGGACUAACAUUAGAAAAUACAUGGCAGUCAAUCAUAUUGAUCAAUAAGAGAUGUACGAUAAUUUCUAAAGCAUGAAAAAAUUCCCGAUGCAUAUCCAUUGGGAAAAUACACUUGGUUCAGGAAGAUUCUGAUUAUCAACACUGCGUACAUUGGAGUGAUAACCAAUGAAGAGGCGUGAAUCUUUUAUAUGGAAGCAGUAUGACAUCUUCUCCAACUUUUAAGCACAUACAACAUAGGAACACAAUGCUAUAAAGGAGGUUGGUAUCCAAUUUAAAAUGUGGUGCAAUUUCUCCCCUUCCAUAAUACUUUGAAGUAGAUAGAACAUACAAAAGUUUCUAGUACCCAAAACUAAAGUAUCACCAUAUAGAAAUAACACCAGUUCAUUGGAGAUAUUUGGGCCUGCGGGCUUAACAUCCUAGUCAUUAGUAGAGACCUAUCGGAAAUAUGAUGCAGAUUUAGGAUUAUAAUAUGUGAUCAGUUUUUUGCAUAAUAGCAUUUUAGAAACUGAGACCGUACUUAAUUAUUUUGUUAAACUAAAUUUUAUAUAUUAGAAAUAUGAAUAACAUAGUCUAUAUUAGACGAUAGGAUAUUUUACCUCAAUAAUGACUGACGGACGAAAAACAUGGAUGAACUACGUAUCACAAAAAUACAUGAUUUUCUCCUGGCAUAUGUUAUUUCUAAAAACCUAUAAAUACUUAAUCCUAUCAACUUGCUAUCUCCAUAAACUUGUAAUAUCUAAUGCCGCCUUGGCCACCAACUGAUAGCACAGUAUGCCCGCUGCUCCAUUAAUUAAACAGAUCCAUGCAUGAAGCUUUCCAUCAAUUCAAAACCAUCCAUAUUUCAAUUGUACAUGGAACAGAUUUACGAACAAAAUAAAUAUAAUCAUUAAUUAAUGGAUUGUCAUUCUCAAAUACUCAUGGAUUGCCACCGUCCUCAUCUGCUCGUCACCCAUAAAAUCAUGUGUGGUAAUAUAUGAAAAUGAAUAAAGGGGUCUUUCUGAUUAUAAAUCACAGGUUCUAUCCCAACAAACUGGCACCACACUUUGUACAACGGGGUGAGAAAGAACCUGGUGAGAUUGCCCAAAUAUGUUAAUGAGAUGAUCCUAAUUAAUUUAGAUUCUCCGUGAACUUUGUGAAGGUAGGAGAAGGAACGCACCAGCAUUGAUUGCAGGGAUAGACCAAUAACUUGAGGCACAAAACUGCACACAAAACUGAAUUGCUGGAUUGAAGUGCAUUUUACUUGCAUAUAUACUGGGACGAUCACAAAACUGCACACGUACAUGCUUCAAAAAGAGAUGGAUGACAUGAGCUAAAUGAAGUCAAACAUACAUUCUCCAAAUCAGAAAUGCUGAAAUAGUCAAUGAUGAUUACUAACCAAUCAAUCGCUAUUAUGCCACUGUUGUUGCACUCAAACGAAUACCAGGUUAAUCAAAGCACCCUCGGUGUACAGUUUCAAGAAAAAUCCAUCAGAAACCAUGGGCCACCUGGAAAACAUCCCAGAAUAUGCAUGCAUAUUACAGAGAAAACUAAAAAUAUAUAUUUUCUAUGUAAGUACAGUAUGUUAACUGCUCAAAAUAUAAAACAUAUACAUUCAUAAAGCUUCCAGCAAUUCAAAAAAAUAUUUCAUUCAUACGUGGAACAGAUUUACGAACAAAAUAAUCCAUGGAUCAUCGUUCUCAAAUACUAACAGAUUAUCACUGGUCCUCAACUGCUCAUCAUCCAUAACCUCCUGUUUGGUAUAGAUAUGCAAAUGCAUAAAGGAAUCUUUCCAAUUCUAACUUACAGUAAUUCGUAUGCUUCUAGCCCAACAAAUUGGCACCAGACUUUCUACAGCCGGGAAGAAAGAACCUUGCGAUAUUCCCCAAGUAUGUUAAUGAGAUGAUCCAAAUUAAUUUAGAUGCUCCAUGAACUCUGUGAAGAUAGGAGAAAGGACGCACCAGCCAUGAUUGCAAGGAGAGACAGAAGACUUGAGGGCCAUGACGGCGUGCUCGUAGUGGAGGACAUAAAGCUCUCGCAUUGGGCCCCCCGCUGAGGCAGUUGAAGCAUGGAAGCGAGGGACGAUUUUAUUUUCUGCACGGCGUGGGAACGGUAGGAGGGUUUGGGAAGUGAGAACGGCUGCCUGCAGAUAAUCGAUCCCGUCCUCGCAGCCAUCUGUGGAGGCAGAAGCCGAUUUGUACAUGAAUCACAAGUAGAGGAGUCCCGUGCUACAGAAAGAAGGAGAGGAGUCCCAUGGUCGUUCUUUUCUAUCUGCCCAAACAUUUUUUUUCCUUUCAAUUACGCAAGGAGAUAGCCCCUUUUUGGUUAAGAUGGACGGAAGAGAUAGUCUUUUUUAUAGAUGGAAGGAGAUACCUGGAGUAUAUGAGUAGAUAUAUACCUUUUUUUAAAGAGAUAGAUAUUGGUUAAAAUAUUUUCUGAGAACAGUUUCCUUUACUUAGGAGAGAAAAAAACCAUGGAUUAGUAGUACGUGGCCGACCCAAACGUUCUUUUUUAUCUGGGCACAAAACCGAAUCCUCGACCUUGGAUUGAAUUUUAUUUUCAGAAUUGAGAAAAGUUUCCACGGAGUAUUAUAUGGACUGAUCUACACCAUAAUAAUUCGGUCCCACCAGAUUAACGUCUCCUAAUUAUUGACUAACGUGAGAAUUUGUAGGAAGUCAAGAAUUAGUAUAGGUAUAGAUUCCGAUCACCAUGAACUAGAUGCAUAGGGUAUUUUUUUGAUGAAAUUCCAAUUUCAACCGAUUCUAGUUCCAAGAUCCAAUAUCAUCACAUAGCCUAUACCAUGUCAAUGCUUUUCCCUUCAAAGAUAAAGGGAAAAUCUUCUUUUUAGCUUCAUCUCCGGGUAAACCUGCAAGCUUAAACAAUCCACAAAUUUGAUCCACAUAUAUCAAGUGCAUAUCAGGAUAUCCGGUUCCAUCUCCUGCAUAAGGAUUAGAUAGAAGUUGCUCUAACAUACCCAAAGGAAUUUCAUAUUCAAUAUUUUCAGUAGGUGCAGUAGGUUGAGGGGCAACCAAUUGUGGUUCCGGCCGAGGUAAAGAUACCCCGAACAAACCCCUCAAAGCAUUGUUUUCCAUAGUAGCAAGUGACAAUAAAUGUCAGCACGUAGUAAUAAUGUUUCCUUACCAAUUUCCACUUACCAAGAGCGCUUCACUCCCUAGUGACGGCGCCAGAAAAUAGCUUUGAUGACCCACAAGUAUAUGAGGUCAAUUGUAGCCUUUUCGAUAAGUAGGAGUGUCGAACCCAAUGAGGAGCAGAAGGAAAUGACAAGUGGUUUUCAACAAGGUAGUGUCCGCAAGUGCUAAAAUUGUAAGUAGUGGAGUAGUUUGAUAGCAAGAUAAUUUGUAACGAGCAAGUAAUUAUAGUACUAACAAAAGUGGAGCAAGGUAGCCCAAUCCUUUUGAGGCAAAAAACAGGCCAAAAUAGUCUCUUAUGAUAAGCAAAGUGUUCUUGAGGGUACACGGGAAUUUCAUCUAGUCACUUUCAUCAUGUUGGCUUAAUUUGUGUUUGCUACUUUGAUAAUUUGAUAUGUGGGUGGACUGGUGCUUAGGUGUUGUUCUUACUUGAACAAACCUCCUACUUAUGAUUAACCCUCCCGCAAGCAUCCGCAACUACGAGAAAAGUAUUAAGAAUAAAUUCUAACCAUAGCAUUAAACUUUUGGAUCCAAUCGGUCCCUUACGGAAUAGCGCAUAAACUGGUGUUUAAGCUUCUGCCACUCUCGCAACCCAUCAUCUAAUAACUACUCCGUGAUAUGUCUCCAAUGUAUCUAUAAUUUAUGAAGCAUUCAUGCUAUUAUAUUAUCUGUUUUGAAUGUUUAUGGGUUUUAUUAUACACUUUUAUAUUAUUUUUGGGACUAACCUAUUAACCGGAGGCCCAACCCAUAUUGCUGUUUUCUUGCCUAUUUCAGUGUUUCGAAGAAAAGGAAUAUCAAACGGAGUCCAAACGGAAUGAAACCUUCAGGAGAGUUAUUUUUGAAACGAACGUGAUCCAAGAGACUUGGAAUUGAAGUCAAGGAAGCUUCGAGGUGGCCACGAGGGCGGGGGGCGCCCCCCCCCCUACUGGGUGCCCCCCAUUGUCUCGUGGGCCCCUCGAGCGUCCCUCGACCGAGUUUUUUCACCUAUAUAAGUCCAUAUACCCAAAAAUCACCGAGGACGACAAUAGAUCGGGAGUUCCUCCGCCGCAAGCCUCUGUAGCCACCAAAAACCAAUCGAGACCCUGUUCCGGCACCCUGCUGGAGGGGGGAUCCAUCAUCGGUGGCCAUCUUCAUCAUCCCGGCGCUCUCCAUGACGAGGAGGGAGUAGUUCACCCUCGGGGCUGAGGGUAUGUACCAGUAGCUAUGUGUUUGAUCUCUCUCCCUCGUGUUCUUGAGGUGAUACGAUCUUGAUGUAUCGUGAGCUUUGCUAUUAUAGUUGGAUCUUAUGAUGUUUCUCCCCCUCUACUGUCUUGUAGUGGAUUGAGUUUUCCCUUUGAAGUUAUCUUAUCGGAUUGAGUCUUUAAGGAUUUUAGAACACUUGAUGUAUGUUUUGUCGUGCUUAUCUGUGGUGACAAUGGGAUAUUCACGUGAUUCACUUGAUGUAUGUUUUGGUGAUCAACUUGCGGGUUCAGUGACCUUGUGAACUCAUGCAUAGGGGUUGGCACACGUUUUCAUCUUGAAUCUCCGGUAGAAACUUUGGGGCACUCUUUGAAGUACUUUGUGUUGGUUGCAUAGAUGAAUCUGAGAUUGUCUGGUGCAUAUCGUAUAAUCAUGCACACGGAUACUUGAGGUGACAAUGGAGUAUCUAGGUGACAUUAGGGUUUUGGUUGAUUUGUGUCUUAAGGUGUUAUUCUAGUAUGAACUCUAUGAUAGAUCGAACGGAAAGAAUAGCUUCAUGUUAUUUUACUACGGACUCUUGAAUAGAUAGAUCAAAAAGGAUAACUUUGAGGUGAUUUCGUACCCUACCAUAAUCUCUUCGUUUGUUCCCCGCUAUUAGUGGCUUUGGAGUGACUCUUUGUUGCAUGUUGAGGGAUAGUUAUAUGAUCCAAAUAUGUUAUUGUUGUUGAGAGAUCUCGCACUAGUGAAAGUAUGAACCUUAGGCCUUGUUUCCUACCAUUUCAAUACUGUUUACGCUCACUUUUAUCACUUUCUACCUUGCUGUUUUUAUAAUUUCAGAUUACAAAUACCUUUAUCUACCAUCCAUAUUGCACUUGUAUCACCAUCUCUUCGCCGAACUAGUGUACCUAUACAAUCUACCAUUGUAUUGGGUGUGUUGGGGACACAAGAGACUCUUUGCUAUUUGGUUGCAGGGUUGUUUGAGAGAGACCAUCUUCAUCCUAUGCCUCCCAUGGAUUGAUAAACCUUAGGUCAUCCACUUGAGGGAAAUUUGCUACUGUCCUACAAACCUCUGCACUUGGAGGCCCAACAACGUCUACAAGAAGUAGGUUGUGUAGUAGACAUCACUCCACAAUGCAUUCCCUUAGGCCAAAAUAUGGUGAAGUGUCAUGUAGUCGACGUUCACAUGACACCACUAAGGGAAUCACAACAUAGAUAUCCUCAAAAUAUCAAACACAUAUCAAGUUCACAUGAUUACUUGCAACAUGAUUUCUCCCAUGACCUCAAGAACAAAAGUAACUACUCACAAAUGAUAAUCAUGCUCAAGACCAGAGGGGUAUUAAAUAGCAUAAUGGAUCUGAACAUAUAAUCUUCCACCAAAUAAACCAUAUAGUAAUCAACUGCAAGAUGUAAUUAACACUAGUAGUCACCCACAAGCACCAAUCUAUAGUUCCGGUACAAAGAUUGAACAUAAGAGAUGAACUAGGGUUUGAGAGGAGUUGGUGCUGUUGAAUAUGUUGAUGAAGAUAGCCCUCCCCAAGAUGGGAGAGUUGUUGGUGGUUAUGAUGAUGAUGAUGAUGAUUUCCCCCUCCGUGAGGGAAGUUCCCCCGGCGAAGUCACUCCGUCGGAGGGCAAAAGUGCUCCUGCCCAAGUUCGCCUCGAGAGGCGGCGCUUCGUCCCGAAAGUCCUAUCCUUAUUUUUUCUAGAUCAAGAUGACUUAUAUACCAGAAGAGGGGCGCCGUAGGUGGGCCUGGGUGAGCACAACCCCCCAGGGCGCGCCUGGGCUCCCUGGCAUUCCCAGGUGGGUUGUGCCCACCUGGUUGGCCCCCUCUGGUACUUAUUGACUCCAAAAAUUAUUAUUUAUUCCAUAUAAAAUCCUCAUGAAGUUUUAACUCAUUUGGAGUUGUGCAGAAUAGGUAGCUUGACAUAGCUUUUUCAGGUCCAGAUUUCCAGCUGCUAGAAUUCUCCCCCUUUGUGUAUACCUUGCAUAUUAUGAGAGAAAAAACAUUAGAAUUACUGCAAAAAGCAUUAUUAUACAAUAAAACAACAUAAAUAACAGUAGGAAAGCAUGAUGCAAAAUGGACGUACGUAUCACAUGUCUUUGCAGGCCGACGUAACCCCGUGCACCAUACUGUAUACCAUCAACGGCGAGAAGGUGGACGUGGGGAAGGCGAUGGUAAUGCAGCCGAAGGAACAAUUGUUCCACAACCGGCUGAUCCACCCUGACGUCUUCAAGGUUUCCAUGGCCAGUGUCGAAUCGGGCCACGAGAAUUUAUCUCUUCCGGUAGCACUAGGGGGAGAUGACGACGAGAUCCCACGACAGCUUGGCGAUUGCAAGCGUUGGGUCCUGUUGUGGCCGAAGAGUCUGCUUCGUCUGGAGGCGGCCGGGAGCACACCCACGACCAACCAGCCUCGGCAAGGUAUGAACACCAACACCCACCCAACCCAAUUAGCGUCGCCUGUCGUGCCGGGUGAGGAAGACGCUACAUUACUGACUGAUGACGUUGUUGUCAUCGAAGAAGCAAUGCAUGAUGCCAUCGACGAGGAUGACAAUGGAGGAUUGAUGGCUCAGUAGUAUGAGUACUCAGGGUCUGAGCGUGAAGAGUUAGUGGCUGAAUUGUCGGAGGAUGAACGUAUUAUAGGCUCACUUCCAGUAGGAAAGAAGCAUAGGAAGAGAUCGAGGAAAGGCAACAAAGCUUCUGUUGGAAAUAUGCCCUAGAGGCAAUAAUAAAAUGAUUAUUAUUAUAUUUCCUUGUUCAUGAUAAUUGUCUAUUAUUCAUGCUAUAAUUGUGUCAUCUGGAAAUUGUAAUACAUGUGUGAAUACAUAGACCACAACAUGUCCCUAGUGAGCCUCUAGUUGGCUAGCUCGUUAAUCAACAGAUAGUCAUGGUUUCCUGACUAUGGACAUUGGAUGUCAUUGAUAACGGGAUCACAUCAUUAGGAGAAUGAUGUGAUGGACAAAGACCCAAUCCUAAGCAUAGCACAAGAUCGUGUAGUUCGUUUGCUAGAGCUUUUCUAAUGUCAAGUAUCAUUUCCUUAGACCAUGAGAUCGUGUAACUCCCAGAUACCGUAGGAGUGCUUUGGGUGUACCAAACGUCACAACGUAACUGGGUGACUAUAAAGGUAUACUACAGGUGUCCCUGAAAGUAUCUGUUGGGUUGACAGGGAUCGAGACUGGGAUUUGUCACUCCGUAUGACGGAGAGGUAUCUCUGGGCCCACUCAGUAAUGCAGCAUCAUAAUGAGCUCAAUGUGACCAAGUGGUUGGUCACGGGAUCAUGCAUUACGGUACGAGUAAAGUGACUUGCCGAUAACGAGAUUGAACGAGGUAUUGGGAUACGGACGAUCGAAUCUUGGGCAAGUAACGUACCGAUUGACAAAGGGAAUUAUAUACGGGAUUACUUGAAUCCUCGACAUCGUGGUUCAUUCGAUGAGAUCAUCGUGGAACAUGUGGGAGCCAACAUGGUAUCCAGAUCCUGCUGUUCGUUAUUGGCCGGAGAGCUCUCUCGGUCAUGUCUGCAUGAUUCCCGAACCCGUAGGGUCUACACACUUAAGAUUCGGUGGCGAUAGGGUUGUAGAUAUAUUAGUAUGCGGUAACCCGAAAGUUGUUCCGGAAUGUCACGAGGAGUUCCGGAAUGGUCCGGAGGUGAAGAUUUGUAUAAAGGAAGUCCACUUUCGGCCACUGGGAAAGUUUUGGGGGUCACCGGUAUUGUACCGGGACCACCGGAAGGGUCCCGGGGGUCCACCGAGCGGGGCCACCUAUGCCGGAGGGCCACAUGGGCUAAAGUGGGAAGGGAACCAGCCCUUGGUGGUCUGGUGCGCCCCCCUUGGGCCUCCCCCUACGCCUAGGGUUGGAAACCCUAGGGGUGGGUGGCUCCCCACUUGACUUGGGGGGCAAGUUCCCCCCCUUGGCCGCCCCCCCCCUUGAGAUUAGAUCUCUAGGGGGUCGGCGCCCCCCAGGACCCCUAUAUAAAGAGGGGGGAGGGAGGGCAGCCGCACCCUAGUCCCUGGCACCUCCCUCUCCCCCCGUAACACCUCUCCCUCUCGCUGAGCUUGGCGAAGCCUUGCCGAGAUUGCCGCUACUUCCACCACCACGCCGUCGUGCUGCUGGAUCUCCAUCAACCUCUCCUUCCCCUUGCUGGAUCAAGAAGGAGGAGACGUCUUCCCAAACCGUACGUGUGUUGAACGCGGAGGUGCCGUCCGUUCGGCACUAGGAUCUUCGGUGAUUUGGAUCACGACGAGUACGACUCCCUCAACCCCGUUCUCUUGAACGCUUCCGCUCGCGAUCUACAAGGGUAUGUAGAUGCACUCCUCUCUCUCGUUGCUAGAUGACUCUAGAGAUUGAUCUUGGUGAAGCGUAGAAAUUUUUUAUUUUCUCCAACGUUCCCCAAUAGUGGCAUCAUGAGCUAGGUCUAUGCGUAGUUUCUAUGCACGAGUAGAAGACAAUCUUGUUGUGGGCGUAGAUGUUGUCAAUUUUCUUGCCACUACUAGUCUUAUCUUGUUUCGGCGGCAUCAUGGGAUGAAGCGGCCCGGACCGACCUUACACGUACGCUUACAUGAGACAGGUUCCACCGACUGACAUGCACUAGUUGCAUAAGGUGGCUAGCGGGUGUCUGUCUCUCCCACUUUAGUCGGAUCGGAUUCGAUGAAAAGGGUCCUUAUGAACGGUAAAUAGAAAUUGGCAUAUCACGUUGUGGUUUUACGUAGGUAAGAAACGUUCUUGCUAGAACCCUAUUGCAUCCACGUAAAAACAUGCAACAACAAUUAGAGGACGUCGAACUUGUUUUUGCAGCAUAUGCCUUGUGAUGUGAUAUGGCCAAAAAGGUUGUGAUGAAUGAUAUAUAUGUGAUGUAUGAGAUUGAUCAUGUUCUUGUAAUAGGAAUCAUGACUUGCAUGUCGAUUAGUAUGACAACCGGCAGGAGACAUAGGAGUUGUCUUAAUUGUUGUUUGACAUGCGUGUCAAUGAAUAAACGUCAUGUAAUUACUUUACUUUAUUGCUAAACCAUUAGCCAUAGUAGUAGAAGUAAUAGUUGGCGAACAACUUCGUGGAUACACGAUGAUGGAGAUCAUGGUGUCAUGCCAGUGACGAAGAUGAUCAUGGCGCCCCGAAGAUGGAGAUCAAAGGAGCAAUAUGAUAUUGGCCAUAUCAUGUCACUAUUUGAUUGCAUGUGAUGUUUAUCAUGUUUUUGCAUCUUAUUUGCUUAGAACGGCGGUAGUAAAUAAGAUGAUCCCUCAUAAUAAUUUCAAGAAAAUGUUCCCCCUAACUGUGCACCGUUGCGAAUUCGUUGUUUCGAAGCACCACUUGAUGGUCGGGUGUGAUAGAUCCAAACGUUCACAUACAACGGGUGUAAGCCAGAUUUACACAUGCAAAACACUUACGUUGACUUGACGAGCCUAGCAUGUAUAGACAUGGCCUCGGAACACAAGAGACCGAAAGGUCGAACAUGAGUUGUAUAGAAGAUACGAUCAACAUGGAGAUGUUCACCGAUGAUGACUAGUCCGUCUCACGUGAUGAUCAGACACUGCCUAGUUGACUCAGAUCAUGGAUCACUUAGAUGACUAGAGGGAAGUCUAUCUGAGUGGGAGUUCAUUAAAUAAUUUGAUCAGAUGAACUUAAUUAUCAUGAACUUAGUCUAAAAACAUUUGCAAAAUGUCUUGUAGAUCAAAUGGCCCACGCUCAUGUCAACCUCAACUUCAACACGUUCCUAGAGAAAACCAAGCUGAAAGAUGAUGGCAGCAACUAUAUGGACUGGGUUCGGAACCUGAGGAUCAUCCUCAUAGCUGCCAAGAAAGCAUAUGUCCUAGAAGCAUCGCUAGGUGAAGCACCCAUCCCAGAGAACCAAGACGUUAUGAACACUUGGUAGUCGCGUGCUGAUGAUUACUCCCUCGUUCAGUGCGGCAUGCUUUAUAGCUUAGAACCGGGGCUCCAAAAGCGUUUUGAGCUACACGGAGCAUAUGAGAUGUUCGAAUAGCUGAAAAUGGUUUUCCAAGCUCAUGCCCGGGUCGAGAGAUAUGAAGUCUCCGACAAGUUCUACAGUUGUAAGAUGGAGGAAAAUAGUUCUGUCAGUGAGCACAUACUCAAAAUGUCUGGGUUGCACAACCGCUUGUCCCAGCUGGACAUUAACCUCCCGGACGAGGCGGUCAUUGACAGAAUCCUUCAGUCACUCCCACCUAGCUACAAGAGCUUUGUGAUGAACUACAAUAUGCAGGGGAUGGUGAAAACUAUUCCUGAUGUAUUUUCAAUGCUGAAAUCAGCGGAGGUGGAAAUCAAAAAGGAACAUCAAGUGUUGAUGGUCAAUAAAACCACUAGUUUCAAGAAAGGCAAGGGUAAGAAGAACUUCAAGAAGGACGGCAAGGGAGUUGCCGCGCCUGGUAAGCCAGUUGCCGGGAAGAAACCAAAGAAUGGACCCAAACCUGAGACUGAGUGCUUUUAUUGCAAGGGAAGCGGACACUGGAAUCCGAACUGCUCCAAAUACUUAGCGGAAAAGAAGGCCGGCAACACUAAAGGUAUAUGUGAUAUACAUGUAAUUGAUGUGUACCUUACCAGUACUCGUAGUAGCUCCUGGGUAUUUGAUACCGCUGCGGUUGCUCAUAUUUGUAACUCAAAACAUGAGUUGCGGAAUAAGCGGAGAUUGGCGAAGGACGAGGUGACGAUGCGCGUCGGGAAUGGUUCCAAGGUUGAUGUGAUCGCCGUCGGCACGCUACCUCUACAUUUACCUACGGGAUUAGUUUUAAACCUCAAUAAUUGUUAUUUAGUGCCAGCUUUGAGCAUGAACAUUGUAUCUAGAUCUCGUUUAAUACGAGAUGGCUACUCAUUUAAAUCCGAGAAUAAUGGUUGUUCUAUUCAUAUGAGAGAUAUGUUUUAUGGUCAUGCCCCGCUGGUCAAUGGUUUAUUCUUAAUGAAUCUCAAACGUGAUGUCACACAUAUUCAUAGUGUGAAUACCAAAAGAUGUAAGAUUGAUAAUGAUAGUCCCACAUAUCUGUGGCACUGCUGCCUUGGUCACAUUGGUGUCAAACACAUGAAGAAGCUCCAUAUAGAUGGACUUUUGGAGUCUCUUGAUUUCGAAUCAUUUGACACGUGCAAACCAUGCCUCAUGGGUAAAAGGACCAAGACUCCGUUCGCCGGAAAAAUGGAGCGAGCAACCAACUUAUUGGAAAUUAUACGUACUGAUGUGUGCGGUCCAAUGAGCGUUGAGGCUCGUGGUGGCUAUCGUUAUGUUCUCACUCUCACUGAUGACUUAAGUAGAUAUGGGUAUGUCUACUUGAUGAAACACAAGUCUGAGACCUUUGAAAAGUUCAUGGAAUUUCAGAAUGAGGUAGAGAAUCAAUGUGACCGAAAAAUAAAGUUCUUAUGAUCAGAUCGUGGAGGAGAAUAUUUAAGUCACGAAUUUGGUACGCACUUAAGGAAAUGUGGAAUCCUUUCAAAACUCACGCCGCCUGGAACACCUCAGCGUAACGAUGUGUCCGAACGUCGUAAUCGCACUCUAUUGGAUAUGGUGCCAUCUAUGAUGUCACUCACCGGUUUACCGCUAUCAUUUUGGGGAUACGCUCUAGAGACAGCUACAUUCACUUUAAAUAGGGCACCGUCUAAAUCCGUUAAGACGACACCGUAUGAAUUAUGGUUUGGGAAGAAACCUAAGUUGUCGUUUCUAAAAGUUUGGGGAUGCGAUGCUUAUGUCAAGAAACUUCAACCUGAAAAGCUUGAACCCAAGUCGGAAAAAUGCGUCUUCAUAGGAUACCCUAAGGAAACCAUUGGGUAUACCUUCUACCUCAAAUCCGAAGGCAAGAUCUUUGUUGCCAAGAACGGGUUCUUUCUGGAGAAAGAGCUUCUCUCGAAGGAAGUAAGUGGGAGGAAAGUGGAACUUGAUGAAGUAUUACCUCUUGAACCGGUAAGUAGCGCAGCUCAGGAAGAUGUUCCUGUGGUGCCUGCACCGACUAGAGAGGAAAUUAAUGAUGAUGAUCAAGGUACUUCGGAUCAAGUUACUACUGAACCUCGUAGGUCCACAAGGACACGUUCCACACCAGGAUGGUAUGGCAACCUUGUCCUAGAAAUCAUGUUGUUAGACAACAGUGAACGUUCGAACUAUGAAGAAGCAAUGGCGGGCCCAGAUUCCAACAAAUGGCUUGAAGCCAUGCAAUCUGAGAUAGGAUCCAUGUAUGAAAACAAAGUGUGGACUUUGACAGACUUGCCCGAUGAUCGGCGAGCGAUAGAAAACAAAUGAAUCUUUAAGAAGAAGACGGACGCGGAUGGUAAUGUUACCAUCUAUAAAGCUCGAUUUGUCUCUAAGGGUUAUCGACAAGUUCAAGGGGUUGACUACGAUGAGACUUUCUCCCCCGUAGCGAAGCUGAAGUCCGUCCGAAUCAUGUUAGCAAUUGCCGCAUACUAUGAUUAUGAGAUAUGGUAAAUGGACGUCAAAACAGCAUUCCUUAAUGGCUAUCUUAAGGAAGAACUGUAUAUGAUGCAUCCGGAAGGUUUUGUCGAUCCUGAGAAUGCUAACAAGGUAUGCAAACUCCAGCGAUCCAUUUAUGGGCUGGUGCAAGCAUCUCGGAGUUGGAACAUUCGCUUUGAUGAGAUGAUCAAAGCAUUUGGGUUUAUGCAGACUUAUGGAGAAGCCCGCGUUUACAAGAAAGUGAGUGGGAGCUCUGUAGCAUUUCUCAUAUUAUAUGUAGAUGACAUACUUUUGAUGGGAAAUGAUAUAGAACUUUUGGACAGCAUUAAGGCCUACUUGAACAAGUGUUUUUCAAUGAAGGACCUUGGAGAAGCUGCUUACAUAUUAGGCAUCAAGAUCUAUAGGGAUAGAUCGAGACGCCUCAUAGGUCUUUCACAAAUCACAUACCUUGAUAAGAUAGUGAAGAAGUUCAAUAUGGAUCAGUCCAAGAAGGGGUUCUUGCCUGUGUUGCAAGGUGUGAAAUUUAGCUCGGCUCAAUGCCCGACCACGGCAGAAGAUAGAGAAAAGAUGAGUGUCAUCCCCUAUGCCUCGGCUAUAGGGUCUAUUAUGUAUGCCAUGCUGUGUACCAGACCUGAUGUAAACCUUGCCGUAAGUUUGGUAGGAAGGUACCAAAGUAAUCCCGACAUGGAACACUGGACAGCGGUCAAGAAUAUCCUGAAGUACCUGAAAAGGACUAAGGAUAUGUUUCUCGUUUAUGGAGGUGACGAAGAGCUCGUCAUAAAGGGUUACCUCGACGCUAGCUUCGACACAGAUCUGGAUGACUCUAAGUUACAAUCCGGAGACGUGUAUAUUUUGAAUGGAGGGGCAGUAAGCUGGUGCAGUUGCAAGCAAAGCAUCAUGGCGGGAUCUACAUAUGAAGCAGAGUACAUGGCAGCCUCGGAGGCAGCGCAUGAAGCAAUCUGGAUGAAGGAGUUCAUCACCGACCUAGGAGUCAUACCCAAUGCGUCGGGGACGAUCACUCUCUUCUGUGACAACACUGGAGCUAUUGCCCUUGCCAAGGAGCCCAGGUUUCACAAGAAGACCAGGCACAUCAAGCGUCGCUUCAACUCCAUUCGUGAAAAUGUUCAAGAUGGAGACAUAGAUAUUUGCAAAGUGCAUACGGAUCUGAAUGUCGCAGAUCCGUUGACUAAACCUCUUCCACGAGCAAAACAUGAUCAACACCAGAACUCUAUGGGCAUUCGAUUCAUCACAAUGUAACUAGAUUAUUGACUCUAGUGCAAGUGGGAGACUGUUGGAAAUAUGCCCUAGAGGCAAUAAUAAAAUGAUUAUUAUUAUAUUUCCUUGUUCAUGAUACUUGUCUAUAAUUCAUGCUAUAAUUGUGUUAUCCGGAAAUCAUAAUACAUGUCUGAAUACAUAGACCACAACAUGUCCCUAGUGAGCCUCUAGUUGACUAGCUCGUUAAUCAACAGAUAGUCAUGGUUUCCUGACUAUGGACAUUGGAUGUCAUUGAUAACGGGAUCACAUCAUUAGGAGAAUGAUGUGAUGGACAAAGACCCAAUCCUAAGCAUAGCACAAGAUCGUGUAGUUCAUUUGCUAGAGCUUUUUCAAUGUCAAGUAUCGUUUCCUUAGACCAUGAGAUUGUGUAACUCCCGGAUAUCGUAGGAGUGCUUUGGGUGUACCAAACGUCACAACGUAACUAGGUGACUAUAAAGGUUUACUACAGGUGUCCCCGAAAGUAUAUGUUGGGUUGACACAGAUCGAGACUAGGAUUUGUCACUCCGUAUGACGGAGAGGUAUCUCUGGGCCCACUCGGUAAUGCAUCAUCAUAAUGAGCUCAAUGUGACCAAGUGGUUGGUCACGGGAUCAUGCAUUACGGUACGAGUAAAGUGACUUGCCGGUAACGAGAUUGAAUGAGGUAUUGGGAUACCAACGAUCGAAUCUCGGGCAAGUAACGUACCGAUUGACAACGGGAAUUGUAUAUGGGAUUACUUGAAUCCUCGACAUCGUGAUUCAUUCGAUGAGAUUAUCGUGGAACAUGUGGGAGCCAACAUGGGUAUCCAGAUCCCACUGUUGGUUAUUGGCCGGAGAGCUGUCUCGGUCAUGUCUGCAUGAUUCCCGAACCCGUAGGGUCUACACACUUAAGGUUCGGUGACACUAGGGUUGUAGAGAUAUUAGUAUGCAGUAACCCAAAAGUUGUUCGGAGUCCCGGAUGAGAUCCCGGACGUCACAAGGAGUUCCGGAAUGGUCUAGAGGUGAAGAUUUGUAUAUAGGAAGUCCAGUUUUGGCCACCGGGAAAGUUUUGGGGGUCACCGGUAUUUUACCGGGACCACCGGGUGGGGCCACCUAUCCCGGAGGGCCACAUGGGCUGAAGUGGGAAGGGAACCAGCCCCUGGUGGGCUGGUGCGCCCCCUUGGGCCUCCCCCCGUGCUUAGGGUUGGAAACCCUAGGGGUGGGGGCGNNNNNNNNNNNNNNNNNNNNNNNNNNNNNNNNNNNNNNNNNNNNNNNNNNNNNNNNNNNNNNNNNNNNNNNNNNNNNNNNNNNNNNNNNNNNNNNNNNNNNNNNNNNNNNNNNNNNNNNNNNNNNNNNNNNNNNNNNNNNNNNNNNNNNNNNNNNNNNNNNNNNNNNNNNNNNNNNNNNNNNNNNNNNNNNNNNNNNNNNNNNNNNNNNNNNNNNNNNNNNNNNNNNNNNNNNNNNNNNNNNCUCUAGGGGGCCGGCGCCCCCCAGGGCCCUUAUAUAAAGAGGAGGUAGGGAGGGCAGCCGCACCCUAGUCCCUGGUGCCUCCCUCUCCCCUGUAACACCUCUCCCUCUCGCUAAGCUUGGCGAAGCCCUGCCGAGAUCGUCGCUACUUCCACCACCACGUCGUCGUGCUGCUGGAUCUCCAUCAACCUCUCCUUCCCCGUGCUGGAUCAAGAAGGAGGAGACGUCUUCCCCAACCGUACGUGUGUUGAACGCGGAGGUGCCGUUCGUUCGGCACUAGGAUCUUCGGUGAUUUGGAUCACGACGAGUACGACUCCCUCAACCCCGUUCUCUUGAACGCUUCCGCUCGCGAUCUAUAAGGGUAUGUAGAUGCACUCCUCUCUCUCGUUGCUAGAUGACUCCAUAGAUUGAUCUUGGUGAAGCGUAGAAAUUUUUUAUUUUCUGCAACGUUCCCCAACAGCUUCUUCUAUGAUCCAGCUGCCUCAGCAGCCUCAGGUUCAAGACCGUAUACCUAUCCCCGGUGCAGCAAGAUGUCAUAUCCUCAGUUAUCCGAUCCUACCUAAGGCAGCGGUAGAGGCCAUAUACGGCGAUCUAAGGAGACUUCUUGACGAUGUGCUGCAGAGAGAGAAAAUGCCUGAUCACCUCGGAAAAUCCAGGAUACCCGCUCUACGUGGUUAACGUGCCGCAGCAAAGGUUGUACGCUGACAUAUUCCCCGCGGAAAAGUUCUUCCUUCGAUUCGAUUACAUCUUCGACAUGUUUCACUUGAAAAAGCUGGAUUUUACGUUUGUCUGCCUUUUUGCCUUGCACAUGAACCACAUCACCAGGAUUGAGCAGAUACCUUAUAUCUGUGUCGCUGACCCGUACUUCAUGCACGAGGGCUUCUUGGCAGUCUUCCCAGAGCACCAUGAAUACGCGAGUAACUACAUCACCGAUUUCAUGGUCGCCAAUAAGGAGAAGGAGACGAUUCUUGUGCCUUAUAUCAUCCCAUGUAAGUCAUCCGCAGAUAUCUUUCCUUUGAUUUCAAUCAUUCAUUUGCACGCGUGGAGGCUAAUUUGAGGUGUACUUAUUUUGUGCAGUAACGGGCGCGCCGUCCUCAUCAUCCUUUACCCACGAUUCUCCCAUGCUCUUUACUUGGACUCGUCGAAGAACAUGAAGAAAAAGGAUUACGCCCACAUCAAGUCUGUUCUCAACAGUGCUAUCUUGAGCUACGGCCUACGGGAUGGAGAGAUCAAGACUAGGAAGACAAGGAACCGUGCUCCCGCCUUUGGCCAUAUGACCGACUUCUGCUGUAUCCAGCAACCGAGUGAUACUCUUAGUGAUGGAUUCUAUGUCCUCCACCACAUGCUGGAGUAUAGAUGGGAUCAGCAGAACCUUCAAAUGUCACCUAGAUCCGGCGAUGCCCAUAUUCUGUAAUGGGCAAAGAACCUAGGAGAUAUCAUGGAUUAUCGACUUCGAGCUGAGUUCUAUCACAUCCAGCGUGAACUUGCCCAAAUCAUCAUGAAGGAGGUCGUUGAAAAAACAUGGAUGUUCUACGAAGAAGGGAAAAUGUGGCGGGAAGACGUCCAAACACGCGUAUCGGCUCAGCGUCUCGACCUGAAACCUUUCUCUGCGCUGAGGGACUAUCUCCCUGACUUGGAUGGAUGGCACGACAUGUUGGAGUGAUUGACGAUAUAUGACAAAGUGUCCGUUUAGUCCAUACUUUCUCUAUGACGAAACAUUGAGUUAUGCAUGAUGAAACUUUAUUUGUGAUGUAAUUAACCGUCCUCCUCAACUAGCAAUAUCACUCUAGUUAGGGCAUUUUGGGUACGAUGAACUUUGUUAUUUAUGCUUACGAUAUGUUGGUUCUAUUUUUGCCAUGUCUGUCUCUUUCUAUUGCUCGACUAUAUAUGGUGCAUAUCAUCGACUCAUGUGAUGAUGUAGGUGCAUAGAUCAUCGAUGACAAAGAAGUGCUACGCCAAGAGUAUACGACGAGUGGUCGGAGUGUCAGGCCCAGCUAUACCGGUUUCCAGCGACCGCCAGUAGUUAGUUUAGGUUCACGUUAGUGCGAGAGAGGGAUACUAACCGACGCCUCAAGAAGUACUACAUUAUGUAUGAUGAGACAUGUCGUGUAACUUGUAUAGCUAUAUCGUGAUUAUGAUGUGACGAUAUGAUUUGUGUUGGAUGAUAUGAUGAGACUAUUAUGUGUAUGAUAUGAUGAUCAUAUUGCAUGUUUAUGAUAUGAUUAGAAUAUUGUUUAAAACAUGUACAAAAACAUCGCAAAUACGCAGAAAAAAAGAUAUAUGAGAAAAUAUAGUAGUAGCACUCUUUAUAGCUGGAUAGGAAAACACUCCUGCUAAAGAACUUAACAAUAGCACUGGUAAGAAAAGCGCUACUGCUAAAUAGAUAUAGCAGUAGCGCGUGUCAAGCCGCGCUACUGCUAAACGUUAGUUGUAGCGCCGUAUCAGUAGCGCGGUUACCUGCGCUACUGAUAGCCAUUAGACCCGCGCUACUGCUAGGCUUUUCCCUAGUAGUGUACAUAUGUCUAAUGAAGAGUUGUGCACGCGAUGUCAAGUAAGGUGUUACCCAACAUGUGUGCAUAGGAAGAAGAAAAUGAUGUAAUGUAGUCUUUUUUCAGGAUUUCCAAAUUCCAGGCACACCGGAGCCUAGUCUCCAAAACUUCACUCUUUUCAUUACCCGUUUGUCCAUUGUCAUGGAUGCAUAUAGCCCAGCUAAUUACAAAAUGUAUUAUGAAGUCACCAAAUAAUGGCCUUACAAGAAAGAGGAAAAGACCAACAACAUAGAGACACUCGAAGAAAAGAAAGAUGUAACAUGGCAACCAAGACUACAAUAUAUACUAACAAGCCUAUAAUUGGCAUGUCAUCCAAAUCGGGACAUAAAUUUAUGUGAGAUUUAAAACACCUGAAUCCAGUCCCUCCCACCCAAACGCUGACAGCGAGUCUCGAAACCAGCAUGCUUAUGUGCUGUUGAGGUGAAAAAAGACGUCUAGACUG